rnacentral:misc_RNA from 1 species
GAUGAAGAACGCAGCGAAAUGCGAUAAGUAAUGUGAAUUGCAGAAUUCAGUGAAUCAUCGAAUCUUUGAACGCACAUUGCGCCCGUCAGUAUUCUGGCGGGCAUGCCUGUUCGAGCGUCAUUGCUGCCCUCAAGCACGGCUUGUGUGUUGGGCCUCCGUCCUCCUCCCGGGGGACGGGCCCGAAAGGCAGCGGCGGCACCGCGUCCGGUCCUCGAGCGUAUGGGGCUUCGUCACCCGCUCUUGUAGGCCCGGCCGGCGCUUGCCGACACAUCAAUCUUUUUUCCAGGUUGACCUCGGAUCAGGUAGGGAUACCCGCUGAACUUAAGCAUAUCAAUAAGCGGAGGA